rnacentral:lncRNA from 1 species
GUAAAUUGUAAUUUAAAAGCCCUUUGUGAAGUACCUUUGGCUAAAAUGGUGUUUGGGGGACAAAGGGCUUUUGUGAAAAAAAAAAUAUCAAAAGAAAAAUAAAAAGAAAAAACAAAAAAAUGAAAACCAGCGAGGGCAGGCGGCAUCCGGCGGCCGGCGGCGACCCUCGGCGACCUCCGGCGACCCCUGAUCUGGGCCGGCGAGGUCGCGCGACGCCGUCGCGACCUCCGGCGACCCCGGAUCUGGGCCGGCGAGGUCGCGUGACGCCGUCGCGACCUCCGGCGACCCCGGAUCUGGG